UAAUACGUAGGGUGCAAGCGUUGUCCGGAAUUAUUGGGCGUAAAGAGCUCGUAGGCGGUCUGUCACGUCGGCUGUGAAAACCCGGGGCUCAACCCCGGGCCUGCAGUCGAUACGGGCAGACUAGAGUGCGGUAGGGGAGACUGGAAUUCCUGGUGUAGCGGUGAAAUGCGCAGAUAUCAGGAGGAACACCGGUGGCGAAGGCGGGUCUCUGGGCCGUAACUGACGCUGAGGAGCGAAAGCGUGGGGAGCGAACAGGAUUAGAUACCCUGGUAGUCCACGCCGUAAACGUUGGGCGCUAGGUGUCGGGAACCUUCCACGUUCUCGGUGCCGCAGCUAACGCAUUAAGCGCCCCGCCUGGGGAGUACGGCCGCAAGGCUA
rnacentral:rRNA from 1 species